UCUGGUGCAGCUCUGUUAGAUCAUUCAGCUGCUCCUCAAGUCUCUCAUACCUGAACAUACAACCCAAACCAACCCAGCAGAACCAAACAGAACAGAACAAAAUGCUCGAUUAGGACAUCUACCCACGGCCGGAUGUAAGUAAUAACUCACUGGACAACAGAAGACAUAUUAAUCCUGAGCUGAAAAUAGACCCUUAACACUGCGUCAUGUAGGAGUAGUCGCUCUGCAGCUGGCCCUUCAUGUCCUCGAUGGCGUCCUCCAUGUGCGUCUGGCUGGCCUUGAUCUCCUGCAGCCCCUCCAGAAGGGAGUCCCAUGAGCUGUGCAUGUGAUGGUGG